AUGAACGCUGGCGGCGUGCCUAAUACAUGCAAGUCGAGCGAACAGACGAGGAGCUUGCUCCUCUGACGUUAGCGGCGGACGGGUGAGUAACACGUGGAUAACCUACCUAUAAGACUGGGAUAACUUCGGGAAACCGGAGCUAAUACCGGAUAAUAUAUUGAACCGCAUGGUUCAAUAGUGAAAGACGGUUUUGCUGUCACUUAUAGAUGGAUCCGCGCCGCAUUAGCUAGUUGGUAAGGUAACGGCUUACCAAGGCAACGAUGCGUAGCCGACCUGAGAGGGUGAUCGGCCACACUGGAACUGAGACACGGUCCAGACUCCUACGGGGGGCAGCAGUAGGGAAUCUUCCGCAAUGGGCGAAAGCUUGACGGAGCAACGCCGCGUGAGUGAUGAAGGUCUUCGGAUCGUAAAACUCUGUUAUUAGGGAAGAACAAAUGUGUAAGUAACUAUGCACGUCUUGACGGUACCUAAUCAGAAAGCCACGGCUAACUACGUG
rnacentral:rRNA from 1 species